rnacentral:rRNA from 1 species
UACGUAGGGGGCUAGCGUUGUCCGGAAUCAUUGGGCGUAAAGGGCUCGUAGGUGGCCAACUAAGUCAGACGUGAAAUCCCUCGGCUUAACCGGGGAACUGCGUCUGAUACUGGAUGGCUUGAGUUCGGGAGAGGGAUGCGGAAUUCCAGGUGUAGCGGUGAAAUGCGUAGAUAUCUGGAGGAACACCGGUGGCGAAGGCGGCAUCCUGGACCGACACUGACACUGAGGAGCGAAAGCCAGGGGAGCAAACGGG